rnacentral:rRNA from 1 species
ACGGGUGAGUAACACGUGGGUAACCUGCCCAUCAGAAGGGGAUAACACUUGGAAACUGGUGCUAAUACCGUAUAACAAUCGAAACCGCAUGGUUUCGUUUUGAAAGGCGCUUUACGGUGCCGCUGAUGGAUGGACCCGCGGUGCAUUAUCUAGUUGGUGAGGUAACGGCUCACCAAGGCCACCAUGCAUAGCCGACCUGAGAGGGUGAUCGGCCACAUUGGGACUGAGACACGGCCCAAACUCCUACGGGAGGCAGCAGUAGGGAAUCUUCGGCAAUGGACGAAAGUCUGACCGAGCAACGCCGCGUGAGUGAAGAAGGUUUUCGGAUCGUAAAACUCUGUUGUUAGAGAAGAACAAGGGUGAGAGUAACUGUUCACCCCUUGACGGUAUCUAACCAGAAAGCCACGGCUAACUACGUGCCAGCAGCCGCGGUAAUACGUAGGUGGCAAGCGUUGUCCGGAUUUAUUGGGCGUAAAGCGAGCGCAGGCGGUUUCUUAAGACUGAUGUGAAAGCCCCCGGCUCAACCGGGGAGGGUCAUUGGAAACUGGGAGACUUGAGUGCAGAAGAGGAGAGU